GCAGCCGACAGAUAAAAGACGGGUUUUCUUUCGGCAUCGGCAAACAAGGACUCCAAACGACCUUUCUAGAUCGCUGAUUGAAUAGCUGGAGAGCUGAACGGACGAAAGCAUUUUCAAUGGUACUCCUUGGUUCAAGUUCUUCUGUCGAAUUGAUGCCAGGAGAUUCUAGCGACUGUUGCAUGUUGAAAUCGGAGGUACGGUUGGAGACUUGGAGCCUGAGUAGUAUAAAAGAGGUGUGUUUGAAGGGGGAUGGAUCAUCGUGUUUUUCACCGGAUUCCGUUCGGUGAUUUCCGCUCGGUGAAAGGCGGUUAUUGGCAGCAGCAGAUUGUGCGUUGGCAGCUGAGAAUUUCCAGUCCAGCAACUUCGCAAUUGUUUCGUCGGUGGAAUUUUUCAUGGUGCGGCAGCUGAAAUUUUGGCAUCUUAAUCUCCGUGAAUUUAAAUGGUGAUUCCGGUGUGAAAAUCCCAUCUUUUAGCCAUCUCUCUGGUCGAAAUUCCUCUGCGUCAUCACCCCAAAUGUACGGCAUCCUCCCCAUUGCAUAUGACAUCUUCUUGAAUUGGAUAAUUACGAUUGGGACUGCGGGAUAUAGUCUCAAGGUUUCUGUCAAUGUUGCGUGAAGGUAAAACAUUUUCUGAAGAACUUCAUCUGUAAUACUGGCAAUGCAAUCUUCAACACUACUACUAGCUUUCUCCUUCAAGUUACCGAAUACUUCUUCGAUUUCGCGAUCUAAUUUUUCUCUAACUAGAGGGUUUUUGCAGAGCAUAUAGAAAAACCAGGAGAGAGUGUUUGCUGAGGAGUCUUUGCCUGCAAGCACGAAGUUCAGUAUGAUAUCUCUAAGGUACUCAUCAGUCAUUGUCUCUGGGUCCUUCUUGCUCUCCCUUAUAAACCUUGAAAGUAUGUCCUCUUUCUCACUCUUAACAUCCUUCAAAACAUAUAUUAUAUUGGCUAAAA